rnacentral:rRNA from 1 species
GGCGAACGCUGGCGGCGUGCUUAACACAUGCAAGUCGAACGGAAAGGCCCUGCUUUUGUGGGGUGCUCGAGUGGCGAACGGGUGAGUAACACGUGAGUAACCUGCCCUUGACUUUGGGAUAACUUCAGGAAACUGGGGCUAAUACCGGAUAGGAGCUCCUGCUGCAUGGUGGGGGUUGGAAAGUUUCGGCGGUUGGGGAUGGACUCGCGGCUUAUCAGCUUGUUGGUGGGGUAGUGGCUUACCAAGGCUUUGACGGGUAGCCGGCCUGAGAGGGAGACCGGCCACAUUGGGACUGAGAUACGGCCCAGACUCCUACGGGAGGCAGCAGUGGGGAAUAUUGCACAAUGGGCGGAAGCCUGAUGCAGCAACGCCGCGUGCGGGAUGACGGCCUUCGGGUUGUAAACCGCUUUCGCCUGUGACGAAGCGUGAGUGACGGUAAUGGGUAAAGAAGCACCGGCUAACUACGUG